rnacentral:rRNA from 1 species
UACAGAGGUCUCAAGCGUUGUUCGGAUUCAUUGGGCGUAAAGGGUGUGUAGGUGGCGCGCUAAGUCGGGUGUGAAAUUUCGGAGCUUAACUCCGAAACUGCAUUCGAUACUGGCGUGCUUGAGGACUGGAGAGGAGACUGGAAUUCAUGGUGUAGCAGUGAAAUGCGUAGAGAUCAUGAGGAAGACCAGUGGCGAAGGCGGGUCGUCUGGGCCGAUGAUUGACGCUGAGGAGCGAAAGCGUGGGGAGCGAA